AGAGGCCAUUUGUGGGCACGGAGAGAUGGCAGUCAUUUACAGGACUUGGAGAGCCUCAGAAUAAACCCUGUCUUGCUGGUACCUUGAUCUUGGACUUCCAGCCUCCAGAACUGUAAGAAAGUUCAUUUCUGUUGUCAUUUUGUUACGGCAGCCCUAGCAGACUAAUGCUAUCUCGGAAAAAGAAUGAUAAGCCUGUAUUACAUUAUAUAUCUGGCUAAGCCAAUUCUACGACUUCACAGAGACUCCAGCCUGUGCAGGAAGUCUGUUCUUAAAAACAUCCUCAAAGGGAAACAUUUUUACCAAUGUGGAAGAGGUGAAACAAAAAAUGGCAGAAGCACUAAAAGAUACCAAAAUUGAAGAGUUCAAAAACUGGUUUGAGCAGUGGAACAAAGAUCUCAAGAGAUGCAUUUCAUCAAAGGGAGAGUACUAUGAAGGUGACUGAAGUUUAAACAUGUAAAAAUAAACACACACUUUCUUAGAAAUAAAUUCUGGGGUUUUGGAGUGCCACCUCAUAAUUGUUACAUAG